rnacentral:rRNA from 2 species
GCGAAAGCAGGUCAUAGUGAUCCGGUGGUUCUGAAUGGAAGGGCCAUCGCUCAACGGAUAAAAGGUACUCCGGGGAUAACAGGCUGAUACCGCCCAAGAGUUCAUAUCGACGGCGGUGUUUGGCACCUCGAUGUCGGCUCAUCACAUCCUGGGGCUGAAGUAGGUCCCAAGGGUAUGGCUGUUCGCCAUUUAAAGUGGUACGCGAGCUGGGUUUAGAACGUCGUGAGACAGUUCGGUCCCUAUCUGCCGUGGGCGCUGGAGAACUGAGGGGGGCUGCUCCUAGUACGAGAGGACCGGAGUGGACGCAUCACUGGUGUUCGGGUUGUCAUGCCAAUGGCACUGCCCGGUAGCUAAAUGCGGAAGAGAUAAGUGCUGAAAGCAUCUAAGCACGAAACUUGCCCCGAGAUGAGUUCUCCCUGAGACUUAGAGUCUCCUGAAGGAACGUUGAAGACGACGACGUUGAUAGGCCGGGUGUGUAAGCGCAGCGAUGCGUUGAGCUAACCGGUACUAAUGAACCGUGAGGCUUAACCUUACAACGCCGAAG